GGUACUCGCGAAUGCUCUAGAUUAGAGUUUGAUCAUGGCUCAGGACGAACGCUGGCGGCGUGCCUAAUACAUGCAAGUCGAGCGAAUGGAUUAAGAGCUUGCUCUUAUGAAGUUAGCGGCGGACGGGUGAGUAACACGUGGGUAACCUGCCCAUAAGACUGGGAUAACUCCGGGAAACCGGGGCUAAUACCGGAUAACAUUUUGAACCGCAUGGUUCGAAAUUGAAAGGCGGCUUCGGCUGUCACUUAUGGAUGGACCCGCGUCGCAUUAGCUAGUUGGUGAGGUAACGGCUCACCAAGGCAACGAUGCGUAGCCGACCUGAGAGGGUGAUCGGCCACACUGGGACUGAGACACGGCCCAGACUCCUACGGGAGGCAGCAGUAGGGAAUCUUCCGCUAUGGACGAAAGUCUAACGGAGCAACGCCGCGUGAGUGAUGAAGGCUUUCGGGUCGUAAAACUCUGUUGUUAGGGAAGAACAAGUGCUAGUUGAAUAAGCUGGCACCUUGACGGUACCUAACCAGAAAGCCACGGCUAACUACUGUGCCAGCAGCCGCGGUAAUACGUAGAGUGGCAAGCGUUAUCCGGAAUUAUUGGGCGUUAAGCGCGCGCAGUUGGGU
rnacentral:rRNA from 1 species